UGGGGAAUUUUGGACAAUGGGCGAAAGCCUGAUCCAGCAAUGCCGCGUGUGUGAAGAAGGCCUUCGGGUUGUAAAGCACUUUUGUCCGGAAAGAAAUGGCUCUGGUUAAUACCUGGGGUCGAUGACGGUACCGGAAGAAUAAGGACCGGCUAACUACGUG
rnacentral:rRNA from 5 species